rnacentral:misc_RNA from 1 species
UUUCUUUUAGGAAAAUUGGUGCUGGUUUGGAAAAUCUUGGAAACACUUGUUUUCUCAAUUCGGUUUUGCAGUGUCUAACAUAUACUGAGCCUCUGGCAGCAUACUUGCAAAGUGGAAAGCAUCAAAAUUCUUGCCAUAUUGCUGGUUUUUGUGCGUUGUGUGCUAUCCAGAAACAUGUUAGUCGUGCUCUGCAAUCAACUGGGAGGUCACUGGUGCCCAAGGAUCUUGUAUCAAACUUGCGUUGCAUAUCUCGGAACUUCAGAAAUGCUAGACAGGAGGAUG